GCAGUCGAGCGGUAGCACAGAGAGCUUGCUCUCGGGUGACGAGCGGCGGACGGGUGAGUAAUGUCUGGGAAACUGCCUGAUGGAGGGGGAUAACUACUGGAAACGGUAGCUAAUACCGCAUAACGUCGCAAGACCAAAGUGGGGGACCUUCGGGCCUCAUGCCAUCAGAUGUGCCCAGAUGGGAUUAGCUAGUAGGUGGGGUAAUGGCUCACCUAGGCGACGAUCCCUAGCUGGUCUGAGAGGAUGACCAGCCACACUGGAACUGAGACACGGUCCAGACUCCUACGGGAGGCAGCAGUGGGGAAUAUUGCACAAUGGGCGCAAGCCUGAUGCAGCCAUGCCGCGUGUGUGAAGAAGGCCUUCGGGUUGUAAAGCACUUUCAGCGGGGAGGAAGGCGUUGAGGUUAAUAACCUUGGCGAUUGACGUUACCCGCAGAAGAAGCACCGGCUAACUCCGUGCCAGCAGCCGCGGUAAUACGGAGGGUGCAAGCGUUAAUCGGAAUUACUGGGCGUAAAGCGCACGCAGGCGGUCUGUCAAGUCGGAUGUGAAAUCCCCGGGCUCAACCUGGGAACUGCAUUCGAAACUGGCAGGCUAGAGUCUUGUAGAGGGGGGUAGAAUUCCAGGUGUAGCGGUGAAAUGCGUAGAGAUCUGGAGGAAUACCGGUGGCGAAGGCGGCCCCCUGGACAAAGACUGACGCUCAGGUGCGAAAGCGUGGGGAGCAAACAGGAUUAGAUACCCUGGUAGUCCACGCCGUAAACGAUGUCGAUUUGGAGGUUGUGCCCUUGAGGCGUGGCUUCCGGAGCUAACGCGUUAAAUCGACCGCCUGGGGAGUACGGCCGCAAGGUUAAAACUCAAAUGAAUUGACGGGGGCCCGCACAAGCGGUGGAGCAUGUGGUUUAAUUCGAUGCAACGCGAAGAACCUUACCUGGUCUUGACAUCCACAGAACUUUCCAGAGAUGGAUUGGUGCCUUCGGGAACUGUGAGACAGGUGCUGCAUGGCUGUCGUCAGCUCGUGUUGUGAAAUGUUGGGUUAAGUCCCGCAACGAGCGCAACCCUUAUCCUUUGUUGCCAGCGGUUCGGCCGGGAACUCAAAGGAGACUGCCAGUGAUAAACUGGAGGAAGGUGGGGAUGACGUCAAGUCAUCAUGGCCCUUACGACCAGGGCUACACACGUGCUACAAUGGCAUAUACAAAGAGAAGCGACCUCGCGAGAGCAAGCGGACCUCAUAAAGUAUGUCGUAGUCCGGAUUGGAGUCUGCAACUCGACUCCAUGAAGUCGGAAUCGCUAGUAAUCGUAGAUCAGAAUGCUACGGUGAAUACGUUCCCGGGCCUUGUACACACCGCCCGUCACACCAUGGGAGUGGGUUGCAAAAGAAGUAGGUAGCUUAACCU
rnacentral:rRNA from 1 species